CUCCCCUGGCGGUGAGUAAAGAGACACCUUGUUGGUGCUGUUGUUCUUAUGUCAGUCAGGGGCAGAGCAGUUGGCAGCCCUUUGAUCAUCCUAGCUUGAUGCCUGGCUUAGUGGCCAAAGCUGUUUUAUGCCUAGUAUAAGGAG